AUCUAUAAAUACUGUAUAGUGCUUCCACUCUUUCUUCUCCCCUUCUUAGGUGGUGUGAUAAUCUUCUAAACCGCGACGGGUCUAUGAUCUUGUUUUCAACCGAUCAUCGCUACUACUUGUGAAAUCUUCUCUAGGGUCUUUUGGAAGCGGAUCUAUGAGAAUAUGAUGAACCGCUCGUUCCUAAUUGUGAAAUAUUCUCUAGGCUCGUCUUUGAGAGUAGUGUGGGAUUACUCUGUUAAAAUCUUAGGAUUCUGAUAUCUUGUGUUACAUCUUCUAGUCUCUUACGUGAUAUGCUUAAUUUUGAGCUCCUCUGUUGCACUAGGCUGGACGUACAUGUGAUUUAUUCAGGUUUUGGAUGUGUGCUUUUUUAUUGAUCAGUUAUGGCUUUGAUGGACAUGCUUCACUUCUUCUCUAUAUUUGUGGAGGAGGAUCCUACAAUUGGUCGGUGAUGGCUUUGAUUGAUCAGUGUCACUCUAAUUCAUGUUAUUUAUCUAAGGUUUGGAUGAUGUUUUUCUCGAUCAGAGUGAUGGCUUUGAUGGAAAUGCUUCUUCAGACGUUCCUUUCUUCUUCGUCUUGUUUUUCGAUGAUGUUUUUAUCGAUGAGAGUGAUGUGUCUCAUUCAACUGUGUUUUGGAAGCUAAGUAUGAUAUGAUCGGAUCAUUGCAUAUUAUUCUCCAGGCUACGUCUUUAGGCUUUCAACGCAUCUCUAUUUGCUUCUUAAUUUUAACUCUGGUUCGGUGGUUUUUUUAUUUACAUGUUACUUACUUGUCGGUUUUUGUUUUAUUGGUUUAGAUCUGUGGAGGAGGAUCCUUCGAUUGAUCGGUGCUGGCUUUGACUGAUCGUUGUCACUCGAAUUCAUUUUAUAUGAUCCAUCGGUGAUUGUGGAGGAGUAUACUAAGAAGAUCUAUCGGUCAUAGAUCGUGGAGGCAAUGGGAUUGCUCUGUUGAAUCUUUCUCCUCUUUUGGUUUCUUUUGAUUUCUCAAGAGGAUACUAGUAAUGUAUAUUGAUCUCCCUAGUGAUGUUGGCAUUAUCUUUUUACUUGAGGUUCUAAAAGAGAAAAAUGUCAGGUACUUUGAGCUUGAACGAUGAUGCCUUUGAUCUUGUGGUUCCCUGUUACCUCUCUGGCGGUGUCUUAUGUCCUUGUGGUUUAUUCAAGUUUUCUUCCUUUUUCCCUUGGGUAUCUUUUAGGUUCUUUGUAGUUGAUGAUCUUCUUAGUGAUAGCCUGAUAGGGCUUUUAUGCCUAAGACCCUAUCAUUUGUUAUUGAUAGUCGAGGUUCUAAAAGAGAGAAGAUAAGUUUACUGGGUAUGCAAGAGAAGUAAGCUUUGGGUUGCAUAAAGGGAUCAUAAUUGGUAUGUUUCCUUUUUGUUAUUAUUUCUCCUCUGUAUGUCUUAUUGUAUUUUCCAGGAUUUCUUCAUUAAUCUUACUCAUAGUCAGAUGAAAGAUAAUCAUAACUUCCUUUUAAAUGGGUUUUUGUACUUAUUUUCUGUCUUUUUAAUGAUGGAUGUGUCUACCAGAGUAGUUUUUGCAUUGAACAUCUUCGAGUCUGAGCUUCACUUAAGCAGAAAGCUAGACAUGUUUUUAAUCAGUGGGGAGUUUCACAUGAUUGGAACUUUUCAUUGGAAGUUUCCCGUCAACAGUAAUUUUCCUCAUCUACCUAGUGCUAUUCGCAUUUCCGCUUAUGCCUGAUUUUUUUGUUUAGUCUUUUAACAUAGAUAUUUCAGGUUGCUACUUGGUCUCUUCCUUGUGUAUCCAUUUUGGUGUGCUACAUAUAUUCCUAGCUACUUUUUUUUUUUUUUUUUUAUGUUUAAUCCCAAUUAUAUAUUGUGGUGGUAGCUUUUCUAUUUAUGAAUUACUUCCCUUCAUUAUAGGUAUGUUGAGGAUGUGAAGGAGCCAUACUCCCAUUUUGAUUUUUAGGGCACUGAAAAUUGAAAUUUUGAUUGCAGUAUUUUUUUUAUGCCUUAAGGCUGGUUAUUGGUGUUGUAGACAUUUGAUAAUGAAGUCCACACUUGAUUAUGUUGUUGGAUUACAGGGGAGGCUAAAUUUUAUGGAUAGACUUCUAGCGAAUAUUUUCAGGUAGUCAGUGAAAAUUGAAAACAUCACCUUCCUUACAUCUGGUGAAGAGGCUGAUUAAAUUCUACAACAGAAGUGUCAAGAUCAUUUAUGGGACCUUAGGUGUGGGUCGCUUUGACUUGCCUCUACAUUGCGCAAAUGCCGUUUUCUCAACUUCUCAUUGUUCGGAACAUAGAGGAGCCUCUUUUUGAUUUGUCAUGUCGUGACCAUGAAGCCUACGCUGGUGUUCUCAUGGGAAGCACUGUGACUGGACUGGAGUAGAGACUGAAAAUGAUUGAAGUUUGUAACAAAUAUUCAAUUGAUAAGACCAAAUACAUCAAUUAUUAAACGAGAAUGGUUAGCUUAUAUCUCUCGUUGAUUCAAGAAAGCAUAUCCAAAAAACUUUUAUCCAA